rnacentral:rRNA from 1 species
AACCUCCGCAAUGUGAGAAAUCGCGACGGGGGGAUCCCAAGUGCCAUUCUUAACGGGAUGGCUUUUCAUUAGUGUAAAGAGCUUUUGGAAUAAGAGCUGGGCAAGACCGGUGCCAGCCGCCGCGGUAACACCGGCAGCUCUAGUGGUAACAAUUUUUAUUGGGCCUAAAGCGUCCGUAGCCGGUUUAAUAAGUCUCUGGUGAAAUCCUGUAGCUUAACUGUGGGAAUUGCUGGAGAUACUAUUAGACUUGAGACCGGGAGAGGUUAGAGGUACUCCCAGGGUAGAGGUGAAAUUCUGUAAUCCUGGGAGGACCGCCUGUUGCGAAGGCGUCUAACUGGAACGGUUCUGACGGUAAGGGACGAAAGUUAGGGGCGCGAACCGGAUUAGAUACCCGGGUAGUCCUAACUGUAAACGAUGCGGACUUGGUGUUGGGGUGGCUUUGAGCUGCUCCAGUGCCGAAGGGAAGCUGUUAAGUCCGCCGCCUGGGAAGUACGGUCGCAAGACUGAAACUUAAAGGAAUU